rnacentral:rRNA from 1 species
GAGGAUUAUACCCUGGUAGUCCACGCCGUAAACGAUGAGGGCUAGUUGUCGGGCAGCAUGCUGUUCGGUGACGCAGCUAACGCAUUAAGCCCUCCGCCUGGGGAGUACGGUCGCAAGAUUAAAGCUCAAAGGAAUUGACGGGGGCCCGCACAAGCGGUGGAGCAUGUGGUUUAAUUCGAAGCAACGCGAAGAACCUUACCAGCCCUUGACAUCGGGAUCGCGCAGACCAGAGAUGGACUGCUUCAGUUCGGCUGGAUCCAUGACAGGUGUUGCAUGGCUGUCGUCAGCUCGUGUUG